UGGGGAAUAUUGCGCAAUGGGGGAAACCCUGACGCAGCGACGCCGCGUGCGGGAUGAAGGCCUUCGGGUUGUAAACCGCUUUUGAUUGGGAGCAAGCUUUCGUGUGAGUGUACCUUUCGAAUAAGCGCCGGCUAACUACGUGCCAGCAGCCGCGGUAAUACGUAGGUCCCGAGCGUUGUCCGGAUUUAUUGGGCGUAAAGCGAGCGCAGGCGGUUAGAAAAGUCUGAAGUGAAAGGCAGUGGCUCAACCAUUGUAGGCUUUGGAAACUGUUUAACUUGAGUGCAGAAGGGGAGAGUGGAAUUCCAUGUGUAACGGUGAAAUGCGUAGAUAUAUGGAGGAACACCGGUGGCGAAAGCGGCUCUCUGGUCUGUAACUGACGCUGAGGCUCGAAAGCGUGGGGAGCGAACAGG
rnacentral:rRNA from 1 species